AUGUUUCUGACAGUGUCAAUGCUUUCUGAUGUAUCUACUGUCUGCAUCUACUGUCUGUAUCUACUGUCUGUAUCUACUGUCAGUAUCUACUGUCUGUAUCUACUGUCUGUAUCUACUGUCAGUAUCUACUGUCUGUAUCUACUGUCUGAUCUACUGUCUGUAUCUACUGUCAGUAUCUACUGUCAGUAUCUACUGUCUGUCUCUGUCUGUGUCUACUGUCAGUAUCUACUGUCUGUAUCUACUGUCACUAUCUACUGUCAGUAUCUACUGUCUGUAUCUACUGUCUGUAUCUACUGUCUGUAUCUACUGUCUGUAUCUACUGUCUGUAUCUACUGUCUGUAUCUACUGUCACUAUCUACUGUCAGUAUCUACUGUCUGUAUCUACUGUCUGUAUCUACUGUCUGUAUCUACUGUCAGUAUCUACUGUCUGUAUCUACUGUCAGUAUCUACUGUCAGUAUCUACUGUCUGUAUCUACUGUCUGUAUCUACUGUCUGUAUCUACUGUCUGUAUCUACUGUCUGUAUCUACUGUCUGUAUCUACUGUCAGUAUCUACUGUCUGUAUCUACUGUCUGUAUCUACUGUCUGUAUCUACUGUCUGUAUCUACUGUCAGUAUCUACUGUCAGUAUCUACUGUCUGUAUCUACUGUCUGUAUCUACUGUCUGUAUACUGUCGUAUCUACUGUCUGUAUCUACUGUCUGUAUCUACUGUCUGUAUCUACUGUCUGUAUCUACUGUCACUAUCUACUGUCAGUAUCUACUGUCUGUAUCUACUGUCAGUGUCUACUGUCUGUAUCUACUGUCAGUAUCUACUGUCAGUAUCUACUGUCAGUAUCUACUGUCUGUAUCUACUGUCACUAUCUACUGUCAGUAUCUACUGUCAGUAUCUACUGUCUGUAUCUACUGUCACUAUCUACUGUCACUAUCUACUGUCAGUAUCUACUGUCUGUGUCUACUGUCUGUAUCUACUGUCUGUAUCUACUGUCACUAUCUACUGUCAGUGUCUACUGUCUGUAUCUACUGUCAGUAUCUACUGUCUGUAUCUACUGUCACUAUCUACUGUCUGUAUCUACUGUCUGUAUCUACUGUCACUAUCUACUGUCAGUGUCUACUGUCUGUAUCUACUGUCUGUAUCUACUGUCACUAUCUACUGUCAGUGUCUACUGUCUGUAUCUACUGUCUGUAUCUACUGUCAGUGUCUACUGUCUGUAUCUACUGUCUGUAUCUACUGUCACUAUCUACUGUCUGUAUCUACUGUCAGUAUCUACUGUCAGUAUCUACUGUCAGUAUCUACUGUCUGUGUCUACUGUCAGUAUCUACUGUCAGUAUCUACUGUCAGUGUCUACUGUCUGUAUCUACUGUCACUAUCUACUGUCAGUGUCUACUGUCAGUGUCUACUGUACACCGGUCGCACUGUGCCGACAGAAGUACAGACACUUUUUCCAAACAACAGAAUAACAUAG
rnacentral:lncRNA from 1 species